GGCUAUCAUUUAGUGCAGGUGCGCACAUUGUGUCUGCAGGCCACUCAAAGCUAAUCGCUCCCGGCUACUUUCAUGUCGACCCCUUCAGGUUCAGCCACUACUUUAGUUAAUGCGUCGUUGAGAUUCGUGUCCAAGCCAAGGAAUGGACGCCUGUGGCAGGAGAGAAGGCUUCACUCCUUCCGAAAUGACGAUUCCUGAGGAGUAAGAGUCAAGCAUUGACACGUGGAUUUGCAGAGCUUCGUCGCACGCGUGGGUGAGAGAAGUCCACAAUUGACUUAUGAGCUAAAGUGAGGAAAACCGUUCAGAUGGAUGGAGCUGACCCGUGAUGUGUCAAACUGCUCAAGAUGUUUUCAGUAUGGCUUUCGACACUUUUGGUUGCCGACCCCUGCUCUAACAAAUGGUGCCGUGACCCGGAUUCUGAAGAAGUACAGUGAGACGAGCUGAGACGUAGAACUGCACCGGAAUAAACGACUUGGGGGCAUUGCCCCUGCGUCCCGUGGGGAAGGAGGGUGCAUGGUCCAUCCACCCGAAACUAUGGUUCUAAUCAGUGGGGCAUAUGCAGUGGUGACCCCUGCCUGUUGGUGACCACCGACCAAACCCUGCUAUCC